UUAACUUAUUUGCUUGUUUACUCAGAGAGACCACUAAAAUACAGAAGGGUUUGUGUCCUCCGGUGGGCGCUCCCCCUCCGGAGAGGGGGUGCUGCAGCUCCUCCCAGGAGCUACCCACCGAAGCAACGCCGUACGGAUAAGUUCACAAUGGUUUUAGGGAGUCCUUUCGGAGCUCUGUAAUGAUCCCUCCGCUGGUUCACCAACGGAGA
rnacentral:misc_RNA from 1 species